GGAGGCUUAGCUCAGCGGUAGAGCGUGGGAUUGCAGUCUUCCAGUCUACAAUUAUCCUAAGGUCUCGUGUUCGAUCCACGGAGCCUCCU